UGUACUUAACUGAAUUUUAUAACGCUGAUCGAUAUCUUGGUAAAAUAUUCAUUUUUAAACUAGCGGGCAGUGAAAUCUUUGCUUUGUGUGCUAAAGUCAACAGUCGCUCGGUUUGAGCUCAAAUAAAUGCAGGGAUGCCUCGGCUGGGAGCAGUCCGCCGCCUCCCUCCGAGCGCAGGACGCUCCGACGCCCGCCUGCCCGCAGGCCACCGCAGGUAGGGAGCGCACCCACUCGGGGGCCACGCCCGGGCUCCCCGCACAGAGUCCGCCCCCCCCACUCGGGUCCACAGGCCUCCCCUCCCCCACUUGAGCGAGCUCCAGUGCCUCUGAGAGAAUUGGGAGGUCCACCCAGCUCAGGAAGACGGGAAAUAGUGUUUUUGCAGGGGAGUGGGAAGAUUCAGGGCUGCACCGCCACUUAGAAGAACGAGGAGUCUGGGAGUUUAGAACUCCCAGCAGUUUUGGAGUUUGGUUUCCGGAGGCGUUGAGAAAUCAGAUUUGUCCCUGCAGCCACUCCGGCUGGAGAUUCGAACAGUGGGCUGCUAGUUUCAUAAGAGCUGGGGUUCGCGCAGAGUGUGGGGGUGGGGAGCAUCAGGGCGUCCUUGGCCUCACAAUCUAGGGUUGGGGACCGCCGGUUUGUGCGUGAAGCUGGGAGGAUACGGAGGAGAAGGAGGAGCGGAGGCCACAGAGUGCAGGGAGCUUAAAGCUCUGAGUGUGUUCUAAUGCUGUUUCCCAGAUCCCGGCAGAUCAAGGCAGCUCAAAACUCGUGCAGGGGAAGGGAAAGCGCCUUUACUAAAAGAUGAGUCACUUUAGUUCGCAAGAAGCGGCGUUGGCUUUUAUGCUGUAAAGUUCCACCUGGAUCACGAGCUGGGCCCGUGAGGUUAAGUCAAAGCGUACUGCGGGGUCGUCUACCUUCCCACUCCCAUUACAACCCAGUCGCGCCGCCUUGUUUCAGGAGCAGGAUGCGGAGUGUUGCACUUGCGCGUGUAGGGGUCGUAGAACAGGACUUUGGAAGGCAGUCUAGACUCUUCUUUCCGUUGCCUGCGGGAAGUUGCCAACCUCGUCUCACACUACCUUCCACUGCAGCCUGCUGAAAAUUCAGUACUCUACUCUUCUGAGGACAGGGUUCACAAAAGAUCUCUUUGGGGACAGAGAUGUGGCUCAUCGAUAGACGAUUUGACUUGUAAGAGUAAAGCCCAGGAAUCGCUGCUCACCAGUGGAGUGGAUGUGGAGGGGGGAGAAAAAGAAAACAGCCAUUAUCUUUACUGUUGUCUACCUGUCCCGCCAAUUCUUUCUUAAACUCGCGUUCUCCAUACGUCUUUGCCUUAAAUGCAGGGCUUUGGAAGAAUCCCACUUCUAGUUGGGUUUCCCUUGUCACCCUAACUGGAAUCCAUUCCAGGUUUCAUUGCUAUCUGCAGAUGGUGAACCCAGUAUGCAGAAAUGGUCUGCCGGCCCUCUGGAUCAAUGCUAUGAGGGCAUCUUCGAAAGUGGAGCCUAGGCACACCCUUUGGUGCUGCCUUUGUAUCCCAGGCUGCUUGCCCAUGUUCCGGACACUGGAAGCCAACUCGGACGCCUCUGCAGCGCUCUAAGCUGAGGCUCUGCCUAGUGUGGCUGGUGCCUUCUUGGAACGAGGUGGGAAGCAUGCAGGACGCAAGGCGAGGCUAAUCGUUUUUAAAUAAUUAAUGCCCCCCAUUCCGGUGGUAAUGCAAGGCCUCGAAUCCGUCAAUUACUUGUCAUUAGACGAGUGUCGCCCCACGGCCUUCCCUCGAGCCUUUGAUGGCGCCGGGUCACCUAGCCCAGCCCACUCUACCGCGGAAUUAAAAGGUGCCCGGCCUUUGAGAGCGGGUGCGGACUAGCCAUGGCCCCUCAAUUCAGUGAAGAGUUUUGAAAGAAAGACCCUCGGUUAAGAGAUGUAAUCUUUCAAAUGGCCAAUUUAAACGCCCGAUCUUUAUCACCCUCCUCCUCCCCGCUUUAUACAGAGAAGGCAGUCGGUUGUGCUUUGGGGGGCUUUUAAUGUGAAAGUGGGGCGCGGGGGUGGAGCGAGAGCUAAGGUUUAAUGGGGCAUAGGGGAAGGCGUUUGUCCCUGGAUGUACUUAGAGUUACCUAGAAGCCACUGUGUCUUUUUUUUCCUUCCCCUAAGUAUGUAAGCCGGGGCGGGGGCGAUGAGGGUGGCUCCCUCUCUGGAGGAGCCAGGGGUACAACAUUAGGUCAGACCCCCUGCCUGAUCCUGUUCUCCCCCCUGAAAAAUAACGGGUAUGUGACAAAGGGAGUGCCAAGAAUGCCCCUAUUCCUCCAGCAAUUGAGCACCCAUAGGUGCUCUGCAGCCAGUCUGGCAGCAAUCUACACACAGGCCUCAAGUCCUGCUUCACAGGGCAGACACCAGCACCCCUCAAAAUAAUAACCCACUCUACCCCUCCCAGACUGUGGUGGCAAAGGAACACCUUGUGGUGGCAGGAUUCACACCUGAAGUGUCUGUUGAGGAAGGGAUGAUCUGGCCCUGACUUCAGUACCAUAGCAACCAAGACCAGCCAGGGGGACUCUGGUAAAAUGGAAAUUAAAAAAGGAAAGAAAGAAAGAAAGAAAGAAAGAAAGAAAGAAAGAAAGAAAGAAAGAAAGAAAGAAAGAAAGAAAGGAAGGAAGGAAGGAAGGAAGAAAGAAAGAAAGAAAGAAAGAAAGAAAGAAAGAAAGAAAGAAAGAAAGAAAGACAAGGGUAAAGGCCACCAAAAGUUUUCCACUAGGUUUAAUUUUUUCUGGUCACUGACUUGCUGGGUCUAGUAAGUUUUUGUGUUAUUUUACUUUUGACAGUAAGGAAAGGUGACAUACGCUCAGGACCUAUUCUGCACACCCUCUUUGAGCAAAAAGCUCCAUCUAUCCUUCCUAGACUAAGAAAGCAUUUAUCUCGGCAGUGGUCUUAGACUAGACUAGAAAUAAUGUUUGCUUCCCCCCCUUCCCUCCCUCCCUCCCUCCCUCCCUUCCUUCCUCCCUUCCUUCCUUCCUUCCUUUUUUGUUAAAUAUCAUCUCACCGCCCCAGGGCAGGUUUUCCUCUAUGGGGUGUGGGAAGGACACAGGAUGGAGGAAAAUAUCUGCUGUGGAAGGAGAAAGGUGGAGAGCCCUUUGUGUCUGGUCCACUCGGGAGCUUCUGCCUGCUUUUGAGGACUUUUUCUCCACUUGCCCAUGCUCUGUCUCCCCAAACAGAAAUGUCAGCACAAGAUUAAAAAAAAUAAUAUGAGAAACAUCGGCUCUAGAUAGGCACCUCCAUAUCAGAGCAGAGAAAAAUAGCAAGGAAUUGAUGUGUCCCUGACAGAGCUCAGUAGGGCUCUAGCUCCUAGUGGGUCUAGGCUCUUUUCUACAAAACUCCCAUACUCUCAGUCACUCCAGGGGUUGCCUGGAAGCCUAAAUCCUGGGGCAUCUUCCCCAUUCCGUUCACAGCCUUCCUGCCCACUCUCUUAUCCCUUUUCUUUUCUUCUUUAAAACAAUCAUGUGUGUCUCUCUAGCUCCCUCCUCUCAUUGUAUUUGUUGAUGACCUAACACGCUCACACCAAAAGCCACACACAGAAAACCAACAACGUGGGAUGGGAGGAAAGACCAAUUAUGACGGAGGCUAACAAGCAGGGAACACCCAAGUAGAAGCUGGCUGUCUCCUGGGAGACUGAUGGAGGCUUAUUUUACAAGCUGUAAUUCUGUCCUGGUCCCUAUCUCCAGACUGGAAGUGAUGCCUCCACUCUCCUCCCCCUCAUCCCUGUGCCCUUGGGGCCCAGUCCAGAUCUUCCUGCAAAUUCUUCAAGGAGAGUCUCUCUGGACAGGUGAAAAGAGCAGAGGUGCUUUUCAAGCUUGUCUUUAGAGUGGCCUGUUUAAUUUUAACUCAGAGUCAGUUCCUCUCAACACCGAGACAUCAUUGUGACAUCCACAUGAACACAACCUGGAUUCACAUUAAAAAUCUACCCCUCCUGCUGUGUGUUUAUGGUGUGUGUGUGUGUGUGUGUGUGUGUGUGUAUGUAUGUGUAUGUGUGUGUGUGUGUCUGUGUGCACGAGCACAUGCAUACAUACUUGAGGGUUUCAUUUCACUGUUAGAUAAGGCAUCCCAUAGCUAGGAGUGCUAAAAGGAACACCACAGAUUAAGUUAGUUCCAUGCCUGGGUUUAACUCCAUUUUGCUAGUUACCAAAUGCCUCCAGCAAGGUUAGGUAAGGACUUCAGCAACACUGUAUUCUUGAUGCAACACAUUUUUAGCCGGAAGAGAAAUGUCAGCUACUCAAAUCUGUGUAAAGGAGAAGUCUGGAUUUAAUUCAUCGUUCACCAGGGCUUCUUUGCCUACGCUAGAAUUUUGGAACGAGCCUUGCCUUGCGUUGCUUUUAAGUUCAACUUACAUGGUUUAGAACCAUGUUAUUUCCCAUAUGUAAAUCAGUUUUUUCAGUUUCGUUUAUCUGAAAUCAAUAAGAAAGCUUCAAGAAUACACAGAGAUUUUGGGGGGCUGAUAGAUCAUGAGCUAUCCAGACCAAAGUAGAAUUGUCUGUGUGACUGUGAACUUGCUAGCUCCUUAGAAAUAUGAUCUGCACUUACAACUCAAACAGAAUUGUAGAAUGGGUUCCCUUGUCCAUUGUUUGCUUCUGUGAAGGAAAGCAAUGAUUUCCUAAUUUAAAAUUAUGAAUGUUAAAUGUGUGGUCUUUAAAAAUACAGAAUAUAAUUUUGGGAUGUUUGGAGGGAAAGGCUAGGAUGAAGCAGAGGCAUGAGGAGGGUGGGUGGAGAAUUGAAGAGAACCAAGGAAUAGAUAACAUUUUCUAUGAAGGAAUGGGGGUGAAGUGUCUGCCAGGGCAGGACCUGGGCCACAGGGAGUUCUGUAUGGGGGUAAGAAGCAUCUUAAGGAAGAAAUCAAAAUGUCGGGUUAGAAGGUAUAGCUGAGCAAUUAGAAUGCUUGCCUUACACGAGGCUCUGGGUUCCACCUCCAGCAUGGGGCAGAGAGGAAAUAUAAUUUAGUGCUUCAUCUUCUAAAACAACAUACAGUUCUGCUCAAGAGUGUUUACAUUACCUUUUAAAGCUUAUUCUAAAGUAAGACUGACUUCACCAAGUGCUCUCUGCUUCUCCUGCUGUUCCGAUCUACAUCGCUGAGCAGUCCACACACUAAAAGAAAUUGUAGUUUCCUUUCCAUGUCUUGGUGGCUGAGAAAUUUUGCCGCCUUCCAGGACUAUGAAGCCCAUUCCUUGGCAGAAAUCCCUCCCCUUUGUCCUGUUUCUGAUUGUGGCUGCCCAAACCGUGACACCCCCUUCUUGAUUCUUUAUCUCUCUAUUCAGUCCCGCCCCAACUGAGCAGAGCUUCCCAUUUGCCACACACCCGGUGAUAUGUUGUCCUCUCCCAGAUUGGAAGUCAGAAUCUAUGAGUAACAGCACUCCUGGGAUUUAGAGUUCAGGAACUUCCUCAGCACUGGUCUCUCAGAUCUCUGACUAGGCAGGUGAUUUGCAUUUCACCUCACUAGUCGUUCAACUUCCCAAAGCUCCAGACCAUCACAAUGCUAGGAGACACCCCAGAUCCAAAGCAGUAGAGAGCCUGUUUUACCAGAAUACCAGAGUCUCCAAGAGGUUGUCCGAAGUAUCAGGAGAAGGUUGGAAGGGAUGAGAAAUAAAUCUUGGGGACCGUGGGUCAGGACAGCAAAGAUGCUACCAUUUGUCCUAGUAGAGAUUAGGAUAGGAGUGUUCCAGGUUAUGCUUAUUUGUAGUUUUAAAACAGGGUUGUUAAAGGAAUGUGAUCCUUCAAAGCCAACCAGGUCUGGGCUAUGUUUUCUUUGCACCUAAACUCUGGGACAGCGGCUAAGGCAGGAAGGGAGGUGACAGCAAGAGAAUCAGCAGCCAGAUAGAUGGUUCUUGAAUUGUGAUUAGAAAGACAAAAUGCCAGAGAAAAGGAAAAUGUCAGGGGCAGAGACCACUUGCAGGCACGAGGGUGAAAAACAAUCCAAACUGGCAAAUUAUUUCAGAAGUACAGCUUCUCCGCUGGCCUUAUUCUUUGCCAGGAGAUUUUGACAGCAGGGGCCAGGACCGUUCAAAGUCACUCUUGCUUCUGACCUCCCCCUGACCUGCACCUGGUGGCAUGAUGACACAGGUGACAACAGAGGCAUAUUUUAUGCGUCACCCACAUUGGGUCUUUAGUAUUCUGUCCAGCUGACUGAGAAGCAAGACCCCUGACCCCACAGCACUUGUCUUCCUCUGGAGUUACAAACAAAUGCAGAUCUAGUGAACACCUGCUUUCCAGCCCAAGCCCCAAGAUGCUGGCCUCCUAGCCUAGCUUACAUCUACAUGGAGGGAAGAAGUGAUGCUGCAAUGUGAGGACCUGUUGUCUGCAAGGAACCAGCAGCAGGUAGCAUCCUACUGCACAGCAUGUGGGCAUACCUCAUAGUGAGGAUUUAAAGCCUGCUUGCACCAGACCUGAGGACACGAUGGAACUGGGUGACGCUUUCACUCCUCCAAACGGGGAUCUCUCCCUCCACUGCUUUUGACCCCCUAUGUUGACUGCCACGUCUUCCUCUCUUUCCUUGUGGCAUUUCGGGAGGCCCUUACACGACAUGGACAGCUUUUGGAGAAGAACAGAGUCUACAAUCAACUAUACUUUCUCACUCUAAAUGGGUGAUCUGAUGUCAUAGAUUAAGAAGGGAACAUUCGAUCCGUGUAAAUGGAACCUUCUGAAGACACUGCGAACAGAAAAGAUGCCAUUUGUGGACUGAUCGUGGGGUGGACGAGUGGGGGAAGGGUACCCAAGCUAUACUUUUUUUAAUUAACACCCCUCUCUGACUAGCAGAAUUUGACAAUUAAAGGCCAAUCUCUCUUGAUUUCUUUGCUUUAAAAGGACAUUCGAUUCACCCAGGCAGGUAAUUAAAUCCCCCUCAAGCCUCUCCCUUCCCAGAGCUUUGAACAAGCUGAGUCCUAUCUUCUCUAACAUCCAGCGUGAUCUCGGGCAGGGAGCUGAGCUCAGGUAUUCACUAGUAGUUAUCAGAAUACCAGACUCAUUUAGGGAGAUCAACCCUAGACCCCAAGCCAACCCUCACUAAUAGUAGAAAACACUGUCUAGAUUUUGUUGUGGCUGGGCGUAUAACUAACAGGAACUACAGAAUUUCUCCCUGGAAGACAUUGGGACUCAUCUCCCUCCCCUCUGCCACCCCACGUCCCAUCUCUUUCCUUCCCUCUCCCUCCCUGUCCCUCUUGGUCCCCGCUUUUCUCUUCCCCUUUCCUCCCCUCUCUACCCUUCCUUCCUUCCCUUCUUCCUCCCCUCCCUCCCCUUCUCUCUUCUCCCUCCCUCCUUACUCUCCCCCUACCUCUUGAAGGGACGUCUAGAUCGCACUCCCUUUACUUUAUAUCACAUUUAGUUAACUCUCUCCUUCCAGCAGCCAGGCACUUGAGGGGUAGUAAACCUUCAUCUUAGGGGUUCACAAGACCCUCAGUCUGAAAGGAAAAUGCCACUUUGCACCUUCUAAUCUGCGACCUUUCCUGGUUAAAAUACUCACUAGGAAUUUCUAGGUUCCUCUCCAUCCCAUCCCCAGAUCCUAGACCCUACAGAAUUUUCUCGGUUUGGCUUUUGAUAACCUUGUUGCAGAACAAAAUUGGGUGUGUGUGUGUGUGUGCACGAGGCACAUCUACAGUCCCCACUGUAUUUGAACAAGCCAAUCUCAGGUCUUCCAAUCAGAUUAUUUGGGAAGUGGGGAAGAUUAAAAAAAAAAAAACCUGUAACGUCACUCUCUGUGCAUUGCAUUUUAAUGCUUAACAAGAUCCCACUUACUCCUCAGUUAAGAAUGGAAAAGAGAGAGAGGUUUGAUGCUCAAUAUUGCCAGCUAUCAGCAAGUAUCUGAAUAGACACUGUUGUCGUGGGGCCGGUCCUUCCGGCUCUACCUUAGGCUCGCCAGAAGGAACUGUGCUGGGGAGGUGUAUACACUGCCAUCUGUUUGUGUAAAGUAGAUCUAAUUGCCAGCCAACCAGAGCAAUAUAAAAAUUUAGUGCAAGCCCUAAAGGAUUAUAACUUAAAAUUCAAUAAUUGUGCUUCAGAAAACUACGUGUGUGAGCUUCCCUCAGUAAUGCACAGUUAGCCUGGAAAGGACGAUGUAUUUUUUUGUUUGUAUUACAUUUGUAAGCUUUCUCCUUCAAGGUAGGCAUAAUAAAAAAAUGGAUUUUUUCAUAUUUAUCUAGCCUCCAUCCACAGGAUAAACGAUAUUUUUCAAAUUAGAUCACCUCAACUAUAUUCAUGGGUUGGCAUAAUCAGUUAGCCAUACCAAAAGCACCUUCAAGUCUCAUCAGUUUUAAAUCAGUUCUUCCCAGGACGAUAAAAAUCCUAGUUUUUUAAAAAGUUAACAUUGCUCAUGAAAUAACUAGUUAACAAUAAAAGUAAAAUAACAUUUUCAACUUCUAGAUUCCUAGAAUUUAAACUAGAAGCAGUUUGACUGCAUGGUAUAUUCCACAGCAAUGGACACACACACACACACACACACACACACACACACACGAAGAAAUGAAUGAUGAGGAGGCUUAGGAUGUAGCUAAGCUAGUAGAGUGCUUGCCUAGCAUGGGGAAGGUCCUGGGUUCAAUCCCCAAGACUGUAAUAAAAUAAAAGCAACAUAUUGUGUUUAGAAAAAUAGAAGAGUAGCUUCUGAUAAAAACAAUUUAAAAAAAAUUUAAAGUAGCCCCGGGAAAAACCAACACAUCGAGUUUCUUUGCUCUUUUCUUUUUGAAGUAUGGUUUUCAAAGAAGUUACAAAACCGCAUUUGGAAUUUUAACAUUUUGUGUCAAUCUAUCCGAAUGUUUGACAGUUCUCAACUAUUUCUUCUCAUGGUGUCUGGAGGGUAGCAUAUCCUGAGGCAUACAGAGAAGAAAGGCUUGGCUGCCUUCACACUGGCGUUUGAUGGCACUGUCACGGCCACUUGUCACAUUCUAUUCUCUGUGUUGCUGGCCGCACUAGGUACGUUUGGUAGGAAUAAAACGAAUCACGAUGCUGCUUCAUUUUAUGUUGUUUUCUUAACUGCAUGUUUGACCAAACAGGUCCAUGAUGGGAACUAAACCAUUCUUGCAAAGCUUUUUAGAACUAUUUCUUAACACUUGUCUUUCUAGGGCUAGAAAGCUACAGUAAGACAUUGCUGGAGGCAGCGGGUUUAUUUGUUACUUUUAGAUUGUUUAGAAAACUCCGGUACAGCAUCGAAAUGUUUCUCAACAAAACCACAAAUGUUAUCUAUGGGAGGAAGAUUCGUUUUCUUUUCCACCUCCCUUCUCUUCCGCACUGUGAGCCGGCUUUCCCCUCGAAUCUUUGCUGUACUGAUCCGCAGGACUCACCUUUAUUUACUAGCCCACCACUCCAGAAGCCCAGGCAAGGCCAGGCUACGCUUUGCAAAAUAAUUUAGGGGAAAUUUAGUGAUAUUUUUAAACUCAUGCAGUAAAGUCCCAUGACACUGAGACAAGUGGCAGAAGUUCUGUUUGCUGCAAGCGGCAAAAAGAACUCCACAACCUAUUGGUGUUUACAUGUGUAUUCAGCCAUGAAAUUGAAUAUUAUCAGAGUUGAAAAAUGCAAAUCAAAUUAAAAGCAGAGAAAAUUGCCUUUGGAAUUAUAGUACCCAGGAGCUCCAGUGUUUGCUUACUGCAUGGAAGCACUAUUAAAUAAAAAAACCAAAAAAACCAACCCUCCCCCUCCCCCCAAAAAAACAAAAAACAAAAAGCCAAAAAAAAAAAAAAAAAAAAAGACAGUGUCUAAAUUGUCCUCCUAAUGUUGUCUCCCAUUUCCAUCGACUCAUUCUUUAGUUUUACCAGGAAAUAAUGUUCAUGCUGAGUUACACACCAUCCACAAUUACAACAAAUCACUUCCACAACAUCUCUUUUCUUAAAUAUCAAAUUGCCCUCGUUUAGCCACGCGUCCCUAAAAUCAAGCCUCCUUCAGCAUCCCCGAUUCCCACUUCGACCUUAGCUAAACUGAGCUGACCGCGUGUGUUCUAGGCGCAUGGCGGGAUGCUGGGGACCCGGGCUUUAAAAGCCGCGCAAAGGGUUCGAAGCACUGCCGCGAGCCAGGACUCGGAAACUGCGCCGGUGCACUGGCCGAACGGAGCCGCCCAGUUGUUCCCAUCUCGCGGACCGCUAGCUGCAGAGCUGAGCCAACGUGUCUGAGAGUCAGCGGGCCCAGGUGUAACGCUUCUCUCCCUCUGCUCUCACAACCCAUAGUGGGACUCUGCAGGGCCAAACGGAAAGAGAAAAACCCGCCAAGUAUGGGGGAGGGGUAAAUAGAAGAGCUAGACAAACCAGGACGCGGCAGGUGAGCGAGGUGACCUUUGGGCCCGUGAUCCAAGUUCUAGAAUGUGGGGAUCCCACCCUAGACAACCUGAUAGCUAGCCUGGAGACACCGGACCUACUCCACUGCCCCCACAGUGGGCACAACACUGCUUCUCUCCCACCCCUCCCCUAUGUCUUUGGGUCUCUGGGUCUUGUAUCUCUUUACUUCAGAUGCCAAGGUCAGCAGAAUUCAGAGACAGCCUUGGGCCAAGUGUGAGCAAGACCAAGGUUAGGAAUUGCACAGCAAGAUGGCUUUCCCAACUCCACCAUGGCUAGAGCCUCCUCUGCAGGGGCUGAAGCCCAUUGACCUUGGCUUCAUUUGGAUACAUUUCAAGGGCAUUGAAGUUUAUCCUGAGGAUCCUAAAUGGUGGAAGAAUACCUCUCAAGAGAUGGAAAGAUUCUAAGAGCCAGAGGGAAUGGAUGACUCCAAGGAACAGGACUGAUGAUCACAUGAACUCUCAGAGGCUAUAACAGCUUCUACCAGGCCUGUAUAGGUUCAAGCCGGAUGGGUUUCCAGCACUGAGAGGAGAAUUGGACAUGGGCUUCUACUCCAUACUAAGAAGCUCUCUGCAACUGAUGUUGACUUGCAAAGGAAAAUAGUUUUCUCCAAUGAAGUAUCACUGGGUAUAUUAGCCAUAUUUCAAGGUGCUUACAGAAUAAUGGUCAUGCUACAGAGAACACAAGAACUGUAAUUAAACAAAAGUCAUAUUUAUCCAGCAGAAGACCUGUAUAACCAUCUGUAACUCCACUUCUGAUCCAGUGCCUUCUUUAUGACCGCCAUAGGCACCAGGUAUGUGCAUGACACACUUCCAUACAUCCAAUAAAACAAGCACACACCAAAAAUAAAAUAAAUCUAAAAUAAUAAAAAGUAAACAUGUUACCAUCUAUGAUCAGCAGUUGAGUUCUUACACAUUUCUGCCCAAAGGGAUGAAGGCUUAUAUUCCCACAAACACCUUUGUGCAAAUUAGUUUUAAUCAUGACAGCCUCAAGCUGAUACAAUGUGCAUGCGUUUCAAUGUCAUUCAAUAUUCAUGAGUGACAUUAGAUACAAUGUGAUAAAUCAUAUCAUAGGAUACUACUGGGCAAUAAAAAGGAAAACCAGGACUGAAAAAAUGUCUCAGUCACUAAAAUAUAUAUAUAUGUAUAUAUAUUAGCAUAUAUAUCUAAUAUAUACGUAUAUUAUAUAAACAAAAACUAUUGAUGGUUUCCAGAUAACUGUAUUGAAGCAGAAAAUUUUGAUCUUCAAAUAUACCAUAAUGUGUGACUCCAUAUAUGCAACAUUCUUCAUAUGUAAAUGAAAGAAAUGGAGGACAGUUUAAAAGCUGCUAGUAGUUAAGGAGAGGGCAGGAUGGGAAAGAAACUAGUGGCUGUGACAAUUUGUAGUGUCCUUUGUUUCUUACUGUGUCUUCUUUAUGCCUCCCCCAGGUAUUGUGCAUUUUCUUCUGAAUUGCUACCUAAGGAAGUACAUUUCUUAGUAUUCAAAGCAACUUGUGAGGAUGGUUGAUGCCUCUUCUAGGCACAGGGCGUCCCACACAUUCAUAGCCAGCAUAACAGUGGGGCUCUUGUGAGCCCCACAAAGGGUUGGGUUCCCAAGGGGAGCCUGCUUCCUUUGUGAAAGUGUGGGGAGGGAAGCGAUAUGGUGUUAAUCAAUACACCCAGUGAUAAAUGUUUAUCUUGAGCAGAAAGCAAAUAAAGGCGGGUUAGCGAGACCUUUAUUGCCUGCUGUGGAGACAGAUCCACCUACAGCGGCUGGAGUCUUUUCUAGGUCAUGCAGCAGAAAAGUUGAACAACCGUUUUCAUUUUUUUUCCCGAAGUGCUAGGAUGUAGAGGAAAAUCUUUGCCAACCAUAAUAUGUAGUAUUUAUAGAUUCUAAAAGUUUCAUGAAUGGUUUGUGUUUCUCAAAAUGGAAAACUACGUUAAGUCCGAAGCCUAGAUUGAAAGCAUGCGGAGGCAUUAUAUGUGGGCGUUAGGAAUUAAGACUAGCUUGAGAAUCUUAGAGAUGUUCUCCUGUCUACACCUUUUGGGUUUUUUAACUCUCUAGGGCUCCUCUGGACGACUAGUUGAAACAUAACAUGGUAGGUCCUGCUUCUGAAUACCUAGCCCAGGUCAGGCUCUUGCACUGGGAGUCAAGAACUGGAAACAUUUGUGACAAGUUCCCAGCUGCCACUGUUCCUGGUCAAAGGACCCUGCUGUGAGAAUCCCUGUUGGAAGGCACAGGCCCAGGCUAUUUAGUUUGAUGUCCUUAUACCUGGAGAACUCACGGUUGUUAUUGAGAAGGAGUACACUUGCUGUUUCAUAAUUUUUCUGACCUGAGGAGAAUUGCCAGACAGCUGGAGUGUGGUUCUGUAUUUGGCAGCAACUGGAGUAGCCCUGGAAGGGCAAAGAGCAAAGAUGCGACAUCAGGCAAGAGUUGCCGUGAGGUAAAGAGACAGACUGACUUAGCACAGGAGAAUAAGCCCUUGACUCGUGAGACUGCUUGAAAUCUUAUUGAGGAUCUUUUUAAAUUUACGAAGUUUAUCGAGAAAACUAAAGCCAUUUUCUUUACCAUUUUGGCAAGGAAACUCUACUCAAAAAACCACACGUCUGUAUUUAUUUAUGUGUGGAUAAGUAUGUUGGUGCAUAUACUUGCAUGUGAGGAAGUCAGAGGACAACUUGAGGGAGCCAACUCCCUCUAGGCCCCAGGGACCAGACUCAGGUAGUCAAGACAACUGGAAAACUCCUUUACAUAUGUCAUCAUUUUGCUAGGCCUCUACAUUAGCCUCAGACACACAUGAAGUGGGAAGGAAGGUGGCGGCUUCCAAGGACUCUGUUAAAAUGGCGGUGAGGAGAUGGAUUCAGGGAGCAUUUUUACUCCCUGCACAAUAGAACAUCACACCUAGAAAUGAUCACUCUACCCUGUGCCCACGAACAAGGAUUCUGGAGUAAUGAAGAAACUUGCAGGAUGAGAGACUUGUGUAGCAGAGCCAACACAGCCUUCCUGAGCAAGUAGAACCCCGGAUGAGAUGUCACUGUCCCUGGAAGAGUGAUUCAGUACAAACUUCAGGGGGAUCAGCUUUUACAGUGCUGAUCAGCUGUGGAGGACAGGGAAGGUGGAGGAAGCAGAGCUUGGCAAAGAGCACGCUGAGCUACGCUGCAGCUUAUAGGAGGCGAAUAUAAAUGCCUCUGUGGUUGAAUCCUGCCAGGAGUGUGUGUGUGUGUGUGUGUGUGUGUGUGUGUGUGUGUGUGUGUGUGUGCAAGCUUUGUCAGCAUUGUUCUACAUGUUUGAAACCUUGGGUACAAAGAUGCUUUGGUUGAUCUUUUGCUGCAGUGAAAGGUCUAACAGGAUCAACUGAGAGGAAAAAAGCUUUCUUUUGGCUUAUGGAUUCAGUGUUUCAGUUUCUCAUUAGAAGGGAAAAGCAGGAAAGGGGCUUGGUUUUCUUGCCCCCUAGCCAUCAUAUUCUGCCAGAGAGGUUUCACCUUCUAACGGUGCCACUGCCUUCAAAUAAGUACCAGAAGUUGAGGAACAAAUAUUCAAAAUUUGAAUCCAUGGGGGACAUUUUAGACAUAAAUUUUAAGACUGGCUGCAGGGAAGAGAAGAUACUUGGUAGCACUGUCUCUAUUUCCCAAGCAAAUAAAAAGAUCUCUUGCAGAAUCCCACUCUGAUAAAAGGAUCCAGCAUAAAUUGAUUUCCCAUGGUUCAAAAGCCUUUAUUCAAAAUUACCAUUGAUCUUGAAUAUAAUCUCUGUCCUGGAAUAAGUGAGCCAAGAGCUAAAGGGAAUUCCUUUCAAUUUAGGGAAGAAACAUGAAUAAUUCUUACUGAAAUAAAUAAGACAAAAAUAUUUAUAGGAGUUAUCACAGAUUCUUUUUUUUGUCCCCCCUCCCCGUUAUCACAGAUUCUUAAGCAAAGGCUGUUUUUUAUUUCCACAAAUCUAUUUGUUUUUAUAUACUAUAGCAAUGCACUCCUGGAUGUUAGCAGGACCUUGGUUAUUGAUGUAAAGAACUACAUUUCACAGCAUCCUUUGGACCUAGCCAUGUGUCUAGGGUCUGGCCAGGAAGAUCUACAAAGAAGAGUUUCAUAAGAAAUCUUUUCAUUAAAGACUGUUGAUCUGAGCUGGGCACAGUAGCUUCUGCCAGUAAUCUCUGUAUUUGAAAAGCAGAAGCAAGAGGAACAGAGAGAUCAAGGUUAGCCCAUAAUACACAGUGAGAGUCUUGUCUCAAACAAACAAAUACACGUUAUAGGUCUAUCAUCUUGCCUGGCUAAUGCCAUCUUGGAUUAUAAAGACAGAACAUAGCAUAGAGAUAGCUGAUAAGUUAGUGAGUUGAGAAGGGCUUCAGAAAAUAUGUAGAGCAAAGCCUGCAUCCACAGGCAAGAAUAAUACACUGUUUCUUUUGUAAAUAGUUUUAGAUCUCUCCUACUUACAGUUAAACUCCAUCCUAAGUAACAAAAAUGCAUGGUGUGUGUGUGUGUGUGUGUGUGUGUGUGUGUGUGUGUGUGUGUGCGCGCGCGUGUGAGUAUGUGCAUGUGUGUGUAUUUUGGACAGGAGAAAUGCCUUCCUCCAAAAGGACAUAGCUUUCUCACAUACAGGAAACAGGUGAUUCUUAUUCUCCUCUAGACACGCUUUUCUUUUCCAGGCUUUUUGGUGCCAAUAUUAAGUAUCUUUUAAGAUGUCCUAUAUAGUUUGGAAUUCAGAAGCAGCAGUGCAUCAUUUAGAUGUUAAUUACAUUUAAACCAAUGGCACUAUAAGCAAAGCACACGUCUGGAAUAUGUUUAAAACAUACGGGCAUUCAUCUACAAGGGGUUAUUAAUUUUACACUUUCCAUCUGGAACCCAUGAAGCAGCCAUUCUCUGAGAUACUAAAGAUCCAAGGUCACGCAAAAACAUACAUUUGCAUGAACACCAAGGUCUGGAGAAGUUUGAAGUUAUCUGGCCCCAGCAAUUCUGAAAAGAUAAUAUUGUAGCCUGCUCUCUCAUUUGCAUAGUUAAAGCUAUGCGUGGCCAAGAAACUCAAAACAUUAUGCCUAAAAGCCAUUUGGAAAAUGACUGGGUUUAGAGAAUGGUAUUUAAUCUGCCUUUUUUUUUGUACCUGCUAAUUGUCUUUCCAUUAUUAGCAAACUAAGUGUCAGAAGACAUUAGUGUAAACUAGUUGGGGAGGGUCAUGCUGGGAGGUUAUACUGACCCUGAGUGGUGAAAAACUUUGUGGUUUAAUAUUGGUGUCACACUGACCUGGUGAACAAGAAGUACACAUGUAAAAGAAAAGCCAAGAAAACAAAAACAAAUGCUUAAGUGUUAAGACAAAUUCUUUUUUGUUCAUUUGUUUGGAAACAGAGUCUCUCUAUGUUGACUGGGCUGACCUGGAACUUGCUCUGUAGACCAGGGUGUACUCAAUCUCUUUGAGAUCCAUCUACCUUUGCCUCUUAAGUACUGGGAUCAAAGGCAUGCGCCACCACCUCCCCACCCGGUAAGACAAUUUCUAAACAUGGGAUAGAGUAGACGUUUAACUUAGCCUGCUUGGACCUCACCAGGGUCACCUUUCCAAGUGCUGACUUCUCUGGAUCGUGAAUGCUUUUCCUUCCAAUAGCCCAGACUCCUUUACUACACAGGAGAAAGAUCCAGAAAUGCCCCAGAGCUACACAUACUCUAACAGGGCCCUGUAGCCUGUCAGCAAAGGGACUCAGAGGAGAUGAACCCCACAUCAUGAUGGAGGUCUGGGGUACCACAUUACCUAGUUCUCCUGCUUCAUCAGGAUGAAGCCACCAUCCUGUUACCUUUCCUGAAACAUCCCCAUUACAAUCUUUUCCUUCUUCCUGGCUCACUUAUGGCAUACUGUUUGCUGUAUCAGGGUCUUUCUGGGUAAACUGGGGUACAUUUGUUUUGUGUUUUAGACAAGUGAUUUCUCCCUAUGUCCUUGUCUGAAAGUUACAGGCAAUUGCUCCCCUCUAUUCUGAGGUUGUUCUGAGGUUUAGACAGAUCAUUGUGUAGCAUACAUCCAAUGUCUGAGAUGCAUUUAGGGCAGAACCAAUUUUAUUCAAAGGGUGCUGAUGAGGUCAGGGGCUGGGGGCUGGGACUCUUGAGUUCUCUGCAUCUUUCCCUCUUUAAAGUUGCUUUUAGAACAAGUUGAAAUUGAUCAGAAAUCUGCUUAUAGGUUGGUUUGCUGUUUUGUUUCUCAGUAGGACAAAGCCUUACAAAUGCAAAGCAUGUGCUCUGUCCUGGGCUACCCUCCCCGCUCCUUUACUGUGUUUCAUUGGUCUUCUGGUUGGAUUGUAAAGUAUUGGGUGACAGACUGUACCUGAGGUGACUAACUAUCUCAGAGUUCCGGAAAUGUUCUGGUUUUAGCUUUGAAAACUUAGACUUAAGGAAACACCCCAGGUCAAGAAAUCAAGAUGGCUGCCGUACUACAUUGUUUUUUGCUUGUAUUUCCAUCUCCCUGUCUAAGCAUAACAGCUGGCAUAGAGCGUGCAGUCAAGAAGAAUUUGAGCAAGUACCCAUGGAAGAACAUGUGUGACCUUUGGCUGUUGUCUUUCCUUAGGAAACUGUUCAUUGACCUGAAGGUCAGUUAAAAUGUCCUUGCACAGACUUAAGAUACCUACACCUUAAACCUUGGUUGUACUGUGUGAUAUGGUCAAGGGUCACAGUGUGAAUAGAAUUAAUGUUGUUAGGAAACUCACUCUUUAAUAUGCAGGUGAUCUUGGGCAGUUUAGGUAGGACCCUGGUAACCACAAGGCCCUUGUAGGCAGAAAUGAGGCAGUUCAGAGGUAGAGGUGACUGUAAGGGACAGAGGAGAGGAGGGAUGAAAUUCUCACUACCUUUCUUUGACCUUGAGUGUGAAAGAAGGGCGACAAUCAAGCAAUAUAGGCACUUUUUAGAAUACUGGGAAAGGAACAAAACGAGUAUGCCGCUGGAGUCUCUGUAGAGGAAGCUAUCCAUCUGUGUCUCAACAUUCCACAGAGACCCAUGCUGAGUUGCAGAAACUAGGAAAGAAAGUUGCGGUUUAUACCACUGUGCUACUUUGUUACUGCAGCAAGAGAAGACUCGUACAGACUUCAGAAUCUUUCGGAAAUUGUAUCAACUUUCCAUAAUAGAUUCUUGCCCUCCACACAACACCAUCUCCUCAUACUUUGACCUGCAGAUGAAUAACUGUAACUCUGACCCUGAGCCAUGUUCUGACCCAAAGCAAGAUGGGGUUUUGAGGAAGAUCAAAGUGAAGCUAGGGGUUCUCAGAAGGACUGGCCACCAGACAGGCUCAGGGCUUUAUAGAACAAGAGCCUUGGGUGAAAAUCACAUGUCACAGAGAGAGGAGUCAGUUUCUAGCAUCAGAGAGCACAAACCUGGGAAGAUAAGAAAAGGUGGCAAUCACUAAAUUUUAAAAAUAAAUUCUUGUUAGUGUAGUUAAUGUAGUUAAUAUAUACUUUUUUUCAGUAAUUAAUACCCAUAGUUCAGUUAGUAAUUUUUCCACAUAUAGCAUGCUGCCUGUAUGAAAUUGAACUCUAAAGUUAAUUUCUGAGCAGAUUCCUUCUGUCAUAUGCAUAGCAGAGAUGAAAUUUGUUCGCUACGUCGACAAAUUAGGGAAGUUUCACAAGCCAAAAAAUAAAUAAAUAAUGCCAGUUUAAAAAUAAAAGAUACCAAUCACUAAAUUUUAAAAAUAGAUUCUUGUUUAGCUAGUAUAUAAAACAAUGGGUUUUAUUAUUUAUAAAAACUUAUUUAAUAUCAGUUUAUUCAAUAUUUAAUAAAUAAACACAUAUUUAUUUAAUAUCUGUAAAUAUUAUUAUAUUGUUACAUUUAUUUUUACACACAUGUAGUCAUAUGUUGCUCAUGUUUACUUCUCUUUAUUACACUCUCUUGGCCCUUUCCCCACCACCCACAGGUAUCCUAUCUUCUCCCGAAAGUCCUAUUUCUGUUUUCAUGCCUCGGUGAAUUCUAUGGCAUCUGCAAGCAUUUACAGUUCUACUACCGGUGUAUAAGGCUUCUUUUCCAUAACACUUGUUGCUCAUUUCCUCGUCAUUCUAACUAGGAUCCUGAUGGCUAAGAAUAUUGAAUUUUUUUCAAAUAUUUAUUAGACUUUUUUAUUUCUUCCUUUGAGAAUUAUCUUUUAAAUGCAGUUGCCCACUUAUUGAUUGGAUGAUUUAUGUCUUGUUUUAAACUUUUUGAAUUCUUUCUAUAUACUGGUUUAUCCCCUCCCAUAUAUAUAGUGGUGAAGAUUUUCUCCCAUCCCAUAGGCAGGCUGUCUCUGUCUGCUGUGGUUUUUGUUGUUAUUGUCAUUUGUGAUGCAGAGUACUUUAGUUUUACAUUAUCCUGUGCAUCAUUUUUUGCAAUUAUUUCCUGAGCUAUUGCAGUUCCUUUAAGGAGGUCCUUACAAGCCUGUUUCUAUAAGUGUUUCCCUAAGCAGUUUGAGUUUUAGAUGCUGAACUGAGACAUUUGGCUUAUCUGAACUACAAUCUGUGCAGGGCCAGUGUUAUUCUCCUACAGGUAGGUAUUUAAUUUUCUGAGGAGCAUUAUUGGAAUGUAUGGUUUGGUCAUUUUGUUGAAAAUCAGAUGACUUUACUGCAUGGAUUUAUUUCUGGGUAUCCUAUCCUAUCCUACCCUACCCUACCCCAUCCUGUUCUACUGAUUCACACAUCUGUGCCUGUGCUGGUAUCAUGGUGGGUGUUUUUUUUUUUUUUUGUUGUUGUUUUUUUGUUUUUUGUUUUUUGUUUUUUUUUUUUGUUUGUUUGUUUUUUUGGUUCUUUUUUUUCGGAGCUGGGGACCGAACCCAGGGCCUUGUGCUUCUGUUUUUUUUUUUUUUAACUAUGACUCCGUAGUACAAUUUGAAAUCAGGUACUGUGUUAUCUCCAGCAUUGCCCUUUGCUUAGGACUGCUUUAGUUAGUCCAUAUCCUUUACAUGUCCUACAUAUUGUAAGAUUAAUUUUUAUAUUUUUGUGAGGAAUGGCAUUGGAAUUUUGAUAGGGAUUGUAUUGACUCAGUAGGUCACUUCUGGUGAUGUCAGUUCUGCCAAUCUAUGAGUAUGAAACUUUUCUUUCUUUUCUUUUUUAAAAUGUAUUCACUUUACAUCCCCAUUGCUGCUUCCUCUCCAUCCCCCUGCAUCCCCUCUUUCAUAGUUUCUCCCUUCAUUCCUCCCUCUGCUUCUCCUCUGUGCAGGGGCUUCAUUCUCUUCACUCUCUUGACCUCUGGGACUCUUUACUGUCUCUCUCCCUAUUGAUCCUGCCCUCCCAUUCCCCUCCCCACCCUUCUCCCAUCCAGUUCCUUCCCUCUGCCACCUAUGACUAUUUUGUUCCCCUUCUAAGUGUGAUUCAAGCAACCUUGAUUGCGCCCUUUUGUUGACUUUCUUUGGGUCUGUGAGGGGUGUAUCAUGGUUACUCUGUACUUUAUGGCCAAUAUCUACCUAUCAGUUAGUACACACAUGCAUGGAUGCAUGUCCUUUGCUGUCUAGGUUACCUCAUUCAGGAUGAUAUUUUCUAGUUCUGUCCAUUUGCCUGCAAAAUUCAUGAUGUCCUUGUUUUUAUUAGCUGAAUAAUAUUCCACUGUGUAAAUGAACCACAUUCUGUAUCCAUUCUUUGGUUGAGGGACAUCUGGAUUGUUUCCAGUUUCUGACUAUUACAAAUAAAGCUGCUAUGAGCAUAGUGGAGCAUGUGUCUUUGUGGUGUGGUGGAGCAUAUUUUGGGUAUAUGCCCAGGAGUGGUAUAGCUUGAUCUUCAGGUAUAACUAUAUCUAAUUUUCUGAAAAACCUCCAGAUUGAUUUCCAAAGUGGUUGUACAAGUUUCUAAUCCCACUAGCAGUGGAGGAGGAGUGUUCCUCUUUCUCCACGUCCUCACCAGCAUGUGCCAUCGCUUUCGCUUGAGUUUUUGAUCUUUGCUACUCUGAUAGAUGUAAGGUGGAAUCUCUGGGUCAUUUUAAUUUGCGUUGGUGACUAGGAAUGCUGAGUGUUGAGCAUUUCUUUAAGUGCUUCCUGGCCCUUUGAGUUUCCUCUCUUGAGAAUUCUCUGUUUAGCUCUGUGCCCCAUUUUUAAAUUGGGGUAUUUGGUUUGUUGGUGUCUAACUUCUUGAGUUCUUUAUUUUAAAUAAGGAUCAUAUCAUGUGGCUAGGGACACUUUGACUUUUUCAUUUCUUACUUGUGCCUUCUUCAUUCCUUUUUCUUGACUUUCUACUUUAGACUUGAUGCACAGGAUGCUGGCUGGUAUGAUAGCUCAGCAGUUAGGAGCACUGGGUGUUCUUCCAGAAGUACAGGCCUGAUCCCUAGUAUCCACGUGGUGGCUCAUCACCAUCUGUUCCAGGGGAUCCAGUGCCUUUUCUUAUCCUCUUGGUUGAAUUUUGGAAGCUUAAAACUGUUUGUGUAUAAUAUCACUGUGAAGUCCUUUAUAGUGUCUCUUCACGGCUCCCCCUGGUAGACUUGGAGCUAGUGCCAAUUGUCUCCUAUCAGUUGAUUCUGGGGUCCUCUCAGCUCAAGGUCUCCCUGAAACCUCACUUGCAGGAUGGAUAGCAAGUAUUAGGACAGACAUUUGUAGAACUCAUCGGAGCAGCUCAGAGAUUAGUUUCUUUUUCACUGGGGCACAAGAUGUGGCCAGGUGCAAAACCCCAAGAGAAGCAGCCAAACAGAAUGCCCGGAGCUGAGCUGGUCCACCUAGAGUUACAAAAUGUCCUUAUUUUAUAAGAACUUAUGGUCCACAACUCUGUGUGUCCAGGGCUCACAGACACAUGACAAUAUGUCAAGAACAUUUUCUCAGGGAAAUCAGGUAAGGACAGGGAGGAAAAAGAGCAGGAAGAACUGAAGCCCAGACGCAUGUUAUUUCAUAGCUGUCUGUGGGCAUUGUCAUCUGGCCCUGUGCAUGCUAAUAGACAUAUCCUUCAUCUAUCUCAAGACAAGGUCACAUUGCUUUUACAUGCUCCCACUGCCAACCACUGACUAGAGUGUGAUGCAGGGGUAUGUGCCUGCAGGUCCUUCUGGAGUCUAUAUGAAGGGGCAAAGAUGAAACUCCAAAACAAGCAAUGGUGAUGUCAUUUCUCCAUGGAAGUGAGAGCAUCCAUUGAUCCUUAUCAAUCCACUGUAUGGAACCCAUAGGACUGUGAGCUCACACACUGUCAGACUCUGGGUGGGGAGGUCAAACUCUGAGGAUCUUAUUAUCCUCUUGACUUGGUUGUAACAGUGCAAAGUCAAAUAGUAAGUAAGACACGUGUUCAUCUCACUGUAGGCACGAUUCUCUUUGUUAGAGUUCAGUGUCAUAGGUUGGAAAAGGAACACACACACACACACACACACACACACACACACACACACACACACCAUCACUGUUACACAGAAACAUCAGUAAGUUUAAUUGCAACAUAAAAGGGCUGGUUUGACUGCUUUCUCGCCAACGAUUCUAAGAUCUAGUAAGAAUCGGGGUGAGGCAGGCAGACAAUUAAUGAGGUCUGCCAUGUGUGAAUUCUGAGGGUUAAAUGGGUGUGGUCACUUAGUCAAGGGCUAGGGAAUGGGAGAGUAGAGCUCAGUCAGGUAGAUCCCAUUCCUGCUUUUCUCUGUUGAUCAGAGCUCACCUGGGUGGGUUUACCCUACCAUCUGCACCUUUAGCUCAGCUCACUGGUCAAGAAAACCUUGCCUUUUUCUUUUUUUUUUUUUUAAUUAAAAAAACGACUUCCUCUUUCUCCCCUUCCUCUCCCAUUUUCUCUUACUUUGGCGCUCAUAGGUUUUUAUUCUAUAAACACUCUGUCGUCUUUGUGACAUGGACUCAUUCAGGACAUGUUUACAGUACUUAAUGACAUCUCCCUGAGAAAUAAUGAGAAUGCCUUUAAAGGUUGUCUUCUUCCCGUGCGUGCAGCGGGACGGCACGCCAGGCCUACGAGAUGAGAGCCGAGGGUCUGGCAGGGGGAAAAUUGACUUAAUUUCUUUUCACCACAUGAAAUGGGGUGUCUGGGAGAGAUGACCUAAAUGCAGAGCCUAAAAACCAAUUAAUUCUGAAUUGUGAAUUUGUGAGCGCAUCAAGCUGUGUGCAGAAUUUCCGAUGAGGCAGACGACGCAUACCUGGCUUGUUUGCGAAAUGUGAAGAAUUUUCCACCUAAAUACACCUAAUGGUCUGUUAUUAAAGCACAGCUUCAGUCCUGUCACACUCCAGCUUGUAGACCUGCAUCAGUUUCUCAUGAGAUGCCAGUUCAGCCUUCAGCCUGACUGCUGAUGCUGGGUGUUACUGCUCUGGUCUCCCUAGGGUUGGCUGAACGCUUUCUCAGGGUCCUUUGUAUGCUACUGUCACUGUUAUAAAGUCAGGCUGUGUGUAGCAAUCCACAUCCGUCCUUGGCAUCUUAGGAUCAGACAAAGACUGGUCCACAUUCCCUAAGAAGGCUCCUGGUGCUCUGCUGAUGUUCAGUCCAUUCAUUCGGAUGUCUCUGCUAUGAUAUCAACCCGAUUCUACCACAUCUGGGUUAACUCAUCAAGGGCUCCCUGAGUUGGCUUUGCAAGGGGUACCAAUUUGUGUGUGUGGAACAAAAAUGAGUCAGAUACAGCACAUACUCCAAGGACUACAUAAGAAAUCGUGAGGUAUGAAUAGAAGUAAUUGCCAUCACCCCAGGUUAAAUUCGGUGACCUUUAAUAAAAUCGUAAGACAAGAGAGGGAGGGCUCAAACAUGGGGAGGUCUGUGGGGGGGGCAGGGAGACAGAGACAGAGAGAGUGACUGAGAGAUGGACAGACACACAGACACACACACAGAAUUUUCUGUCUACUGGAUGGUAGAGUGUGAGGUAUGUGAGUGAUCUGUUGGACAACACAUGAACACAUGUAUGCUACAUGUUUAGUCUGCUGGGUGGAGGGACAUGAGGUGCUUAAGUGUGUGAGCUAUGUGUGGAUGGGUGGCAUGUGUGAGUUGUGUGCUUGCUAAGUGUGGGUAUAUGAAGUGUGUGCUUGCAAUUGUGUUUGUGGGUGUCCUAUGCGUCUACUGUAGGGUAGGAUACGAGUUGUGUAUGAGUUGUGAGUGUGGUGGGUGGCAUGUAUGGGAUAGUCAUGUACGUCUGCUGGAUGUGGGGAAUGUGAUUUGUGAUUGUAUGACUUUGUUAGGUGGGUAACUGUUGUCUGUAUGUGUGAGUUAUAUACAUGCUGGGUAGCAGAGAUGGGGCAGUCACCUGUGUUUGCUGGUGUGUGUGUGCGUGUGUGUGUGUGUGUGUGUGUGUGUGUGUGUGUGUGUGAGAGAGAGAGAGAGAGAGAGAGAGAGAGAGAGAGAGAGAGAGAGAGAGAGAUAUCUGCAUGGGGAGAUGAGACACUGUACAUGUGUGAGCUAUGUGUGUGCUGGGUAGCAUGUAUGUGUCCUAUGUGUCUUCAGGGCAGCAGUGAUAAGAUUACAUUGGCUCAGGUUAGUCCCCUAAUCCAAUAUGGCAAUACAUAGGUACAAAAGUGGAGACCUAGGAAUCCACCUGCAAGGAAUGCCAAGAAGGCCAGCAAGCUGCUGCAAGCUAUGGUAAGGCAUCCUGUACCUGAUUCUUAGAUUUUGAUCUCCAAGAUGGUGAGACACUAAAUGUAUGUUGUUUAAGUCCCAGGCAUAUCAAACCUUUUGAUACUGAGAAGCAACUUAUCAUCUGUAAAUUCACACGCAAGGCUCACACAAUCUAGUCAUAAUAAAAGAAAUCACGCACACAAAUCUCACAGUGUUUUAAGUAAGUUUACAGUUUUGUUUUACACUACGCUAUACUCACAACUAUCCUUUGUUAGACACAGCCUGCCGGUCUCAGGUUGAAUGUGCCUGGAGCCAUCUUGCUUGUACCCCCGCCCCCCCAGCAGCUCUUAUAAACUCCACAGCCCACAAAUGAAAAUCUUUCGACAUUGUCAAUCUUUGAACACUUCUAGACUAACGUUAAAUUUCAAGUUUCAUGGUUUAUGUUUUUCUCUAUUGCGACUGUGUUUUUUAAAAGAACAUAAACAGAAAAGCAAGCAAGUGGCCAGGUGACUGUGAGCUUUGGCUGUGGGCUUGUUUUGCUUGUAGUAGCUGACAUUGUUGUCACCUGCCAAUUCACUGAAGUCCCUUUUCCCUACCUGACCCAAGGUGCAUUCACUUGGGCCCAGGGUUAAGCUGGAUAAAGUCAGCUGGACUCUCACCUACUCUGUUGUUGCAGACAAAUCCUUUCAUUCUUGUCUUUUCUUUCAGCUUGGUCUUCUGUUUUAAACCCCACUGACCCUUCUCUGCCUCCUCCCCUCUCGCUUUCUUUUUUGGAGGAAAAAAAAACAUUUCAGAGCUCUGCUGAAUUCACUCAUAAAGACUCAACCAAUAAAUUCCUAACUCAAAAGAUUAAAGACAUUUAUGUACAACAUACAAAAAGAAAAAGUCUUGCUUACAUCAGAGCCCCUGUGUUUGCAUAGCUUAACCAAACAGAGAAUAAUGUUUGAAAGACGAAGACUAACACAGACAUUUUUUGCUUUUUAAAACGAAGCUCAAUUACUCAAAAAUGUUGCCUGCUUUGUUGGUUUUAAAUGCUUUUAUCUCGUUUUGAUUUAUGGCUGUCCCUUGUAUAGAAGCAGAUCUCUGCUUAGCCACCUGUAGGCAGGUGUAUCUUUUUUAAGCACAGUCCCUGGAGCAGAAAUUCAUCCAUCAACUGCUCACGUGGAGCCAGAGCAUUCAGGAUCCUUUAUCUCUGUGACCCAGUCACUAGGUCUAUUUCAUAACAAAUAUUUAAUUCUGGGCGGCAGCCAUGAACAGAGAAGAGAAAGGGGAGAGAAAGCAUACAAAUUUGGGGUGAAAGGAAAGAAACUAAUAUUUAUUAGGUAUGUAUGUAGGAUCCAGAAGCAGAAGACACACUUCCCAAGCUCCUUCUUCCCCUCCACCUCUUCUCUCCUCCGUUUUCUUUUUUCUUCCUCUCCCCUUCCCUCUCCUCCCUCCCCUUCCUUUCCCAUCCUCCUCUCCUCUCCAACCCUCCUCCCUCUUCCCCUCUCCCCUCCCAUCCCUUCUUCUUCCCUUCCCAUCCUCCUCUUCUCUCCACCCCUCCUCUCUCUUCCCCUCUCUCCCCUUCUCCCCUCCCAUCCCCUCCUCACUUUGCUUUUCCUGUCCUGUCCUGUCCUGUCCUCUCCUCACUUCCCUUCCCUUCUCCUGUCUUCCCCUCCCCUCCCUUCCCCUCUCCUUCCCUUUCAUUUUUAAAAAAUAUUUUAGAAAAAUUAAACAUGACUGUCAACAAAUUACCAAAUUUCAUAAUAAUAAUAAUACUAAAAAUAUUAUUAGUAUUAUUAGUAUUCCUAAAAGAUAGACUCAUUAAGUCCCGGCUAUUGCCUUAAAACAAUCUAGUUACUACAUAACACCAACUUACAUGCAUGGUAAGAGUGUUUUUCUGUUAUAUUUCCAUCAUUUACAUUUUAAACACUCUCCUUCAAAAUACAUGGCCUAGAAGACACUGUGAAUUCCAUUGGACAGAUCUGUAAAUGAGUGUUGUAAAAGUCUGGGGAAUAAAGCACUGGGUCGCCCCCAAUGUUGCUCUUGAAUAUGAUCCAGGUCCUGUCUGUUCAUGAGGAUACGUUUUGCCUUUUGGAAUCAAGGGACCUUCCCUUCUUUGUCAUAUAAUUUAAAUGCUUUAUAAAGAUGCAUGCCAAUAAAAUAAAAUGGAACAUUAUCUAGAUAAUUUCUGAAUACUUUCAUUGACAAAGCAUUAUAAGGAUGCUAAGUGCUGAUGUGAAGGUGUGAGGCAUGCUGAUGAAGUAGCAGGAGAAGGCUGGUGUCACCUUGGCACAAUGACUUUAAAGUCAUAACCCAGAAUAACCCAGGUGUGAUUCUGAAGGUUUGCAGCAGCCAGCAAGAUUGUUCGAGGGAAAGCAGCUUCUUGGCAUUACCAAGUUUGAGAACAAAACAUGUAUCUUGGCAGAGCUGGUUACUUCUAGUAGCUGCCAUUCUCGGGUACCAUUUAGCAUCUUCAGCUUUUCACUAUCAAUGCUUCCUGGGACCCUCUAGUCUACCCAUGCUUUCUACACACGGGAAUUUCUCAAGGACCUCUGCUCAUUAUCCUCACCACAUAUAAGAGAUUGUAUGUAUUCUGUGUUAACAGAAAGCAAUUGCAACAGGUCUAGCAGAUGAUAGAUUGAAAGCUCCAGUUCUUCAGUAAUCAAGAUCAGUGAAAUUGGGGCUUAAACAAAUAGAAUAUUCCUCUGUAAAGUAGGUAUGGCAGUGGGAGAGGAGACGUCCUCUCUGGUAUACACUACAGUUUCCAUUUCCCAACCUCACAUAACACACACAGGUACAAAUCCUGCCAUGUGUGAGUUCUAUACUCUUUCCACAGGGCAGGGCUGGGAACUCUUUGAUCUGUGUUGUAUUCACUCAUUUUGCCCAGCUCUCUCUUUUGCUUGAGGAUGUUAAAACCAUCCCAUAGGCAGCUGAGCACAGGUGAAGGACGGCCUUGGGAUUCUGUGUGUCUAUCCUUUCUGAAUGUAUUCACCUUGACAUAAUGUUACCUCCCUUAAAAAGAGAAGAGCCUGCUUGGGAGAUGGUUUACUAAUUUUCUUUUUCUUUCCUCAGUGUACACAUGCGGCUCAGCCUUCUGCAAACUUUUGGUCAAGGGAGAAAGUUCAGCGCUUGUCUGAUAGGCUAGACUCCUCAAAGGGACUGUGCCUGUAACUUACCUGAAGAGGAACUGGUGGACAAGUCGUCAGCAAACAACUGAGGAAUCCUGCCAUGACCUAUCAGCUCUCUGCUGCCUCCCAACUAUUGCAGCCUUGGGAGAGGCACAUUCACUUGGAAAUGUAAUGAACAAACAUUCAUUUACUUGGAGUCAGGCCAAAGAGUUAAAGCCAAUGUCAUUUGUAGUCACAAUAAUUUUAACUUCGGACCCAUGAAGAUCUUUUCUGGUACUUUUGUGUGAAUGAGAGAUGCAACUUAAUGCUGUUGUGCUUGGGGACAUUAAUUUGAGGAAGCCACUUUGGAGGCACAACUCUCUAGGGUAAAGAAGAAAUAGCUUCCUGUCUUCCUAUGCAGGAAUCUGCUUAAAUAGACAAUUUUACCUUAACGCUUAGAGUUCAUGUCCUCAGUGCACUUGGGUCCAUAUGUUCAAAGUGGCUUGGAAAAUAAUUUAUCAGUAGUUAACAUCCCUUCCUCAUCAGCUGUUUCCAGGAAAAAGAGCUAACGUUGAGCAAUGGAAGUUGGGCUGCAUCUGAAAGGUUGUUUUUGCUGUGUGUUUCUGAGAAAGGGCAAAUUGUCAACACCACUGUCCCAGAGAGUGCUGAUCGAUAAGUGCUUCAUAGGAAGAGAACUUCCACAAGAGGUGAAGCCAGGACAGCUUGAACUGGAGUUAACUUUGGGAAGUCUUUGGGUGAACUAUAAGAAUGGGGGUGGCCCUGCUUCAUUCCUCAUGUGUACUCGUGUGCUAGAGACCAUCUAUUUGCUAAGAAACAAGGUUGAGAACUUUGUUUGGGCAAGGAGUCCAUGAGGCAUACUUCUGUUCCAACCUUAAGUGUCAGAGAGGAGAGCAAGGAAGGAUUCUGGGAAGAGUUAGGUUCUACAUUGAGUCCUGAAGGAUGCAUUUCAGUCAAUGCAUCAGUCAAUCUCCUGGACCAAUGUCCCCUAAAGAACAUCAAGAAGCAAAGAUAUAGGCUGGGCAUGGUGGCGCACUCCUUCAAUCCCAGCACUCAGGAGAUGAGAAGAGGAAGAAGGAGGAGGAAGACAAGGAGGAAGAAGGCAAGAAUGCAGAGGAAGGGAUGGAGAAGAAGGAGGAGAAGGAGGAAGAACAGGAAAAGAAGGAAGAAAGGAAGGAAGUAACAAAGGUAUAGGGACAAUAAAUUUAUUUAGAAUAUUAAUUUAGGAAGCACCAGAAGGAGGUGGGAAGUAGGGAUGGGAAGGGAGGGGGAAGAAAGAGAGAAAAAAGAGAGGCUAAGAGAGGCUGGAAGAGGCAAUAGAAGGGAAGGGAGAUGAUAGGAAGGGGGAGAGAGGAAGAGGAAAGUAGGCAGGAGUGGAGGGAAGGAGAGGGAGGGCAAGUCAGCCAGAGGAGGGCUUGUCCAUCAAGGACCCACUGUGGAUGACCUGGACGUUGUCCUUCUGGGGGCCUUUAGGAGUAUCUUUGCCAAACUUCACUUCCCAAUGAGAGGGAAGUAGUAGGCUCUGUCCCAUCCCCUUUCCCUCUGAUUAGCUACCAAUCUACAUUGUUCCUAAGAUACUAUUUUCUGAAAUCCAUAUGUGUACCUCAAACAGGCCCAGCUCUGAAGAGAAGUGUCAGUGAAGGUGUGAGUAUCAAAUGGAGAGGUGAUACUGUGCCAGCUCCAAGCUUUUCAGUGUCCUAGCCCUUCCUUAUCAUUGUGGUACUAGUCCUGAGACUCAAGGUAUGGCCACACCCACAAUGAUGAUGAUGAUGAUGGUGAUGAUGGUGGUGGUGGUGGUGGUGGUGGUGGUGGUGUGUGUGUGUGUGUGUGUGUGUGUGUGUGUCUAAAUUGGGCUUGUCUUCUCUAACAUGGAGUGUUAGAAAUGCAUCUUUUCACUUGAUGGCACCAAAACUUCCUCUGAACUUGCACACUUUACCACCUUUGGCAAAGAAGAAACAGCCAAUUUCCAUGUGGCUGAGUAAAUUUAGUAGAAGGCAUAGCAGUUUUUCUUUUAUGUGAGUCUAGGAUUUAGUGGAUCACACUACUUGACCAGAAAGGAAAGCCCUUGUUCUCUCAGCAUUAUCAUGCUGAGCUAGCUAUGUGCAAAGUCCUUACCGGAGAGCACCAAUAUUAGAAGAUGAAAUAACACUAGGGUCACUCACUCUCCUGGCCAGGAGUUGAGCACCUUUGUUCUACUGAACUGGGGACUCUGGAUCUGUAAACAUCCAGUGCCACAGUCCCAGGGCCAAAGAAAGCUACUGAAGUUAUGAUCAGAGAACACAUGUGAGCUGGCAGGGGUGGGGUGAGGCCCAGUGGCUUAUCACCCUUCUUGCCCUCUCCCUGACAUAGGCACUACUUCUCAAAUCCCUUCUUUUCCCUCAGAAACUGGCCUGUCUGCUCGUGCUCUCCUUGACUUUCCCAUCCACUUUUAACACAACUCAGAGUGAUUCCUUUGCACAUCUACUCUGUUGAUAAGUGUGUGUCCUUGUUACACACUUUCUACAGAAGUUAGAGAAGUCCCAGCAAGGACUGGACAUAGCUAUGCUUUGUAAGCAGUAUGGAGUCUGAUCUCAGAAGAAGGAUCCUAGUCAUUUCCCUGGAUGUGACAGAUUUGUGGGAGGAUUUUUACCUAUUUCCUUUUGUCUGUCUGUAUUUUCUAUAUAAAAAUAAUCUUUUCAUAAGAACCUUUUUUUCUGUACCAGAAGGGAAAAACCCUGUAAAUUAUUUUUAAAACCUCAGAAGAAAUAAUUGCUCAGGUUUCCAAGAGCUUAGGCUCUGCUAGGCUUCUUUUUAUGCAGAAUAAAAACUUAAAGAUUAAAUUAGUCAGCCCAGUGCACAUUGAAACUCUUGUUCUGUCCUAGGAUGAAGUCCACUUCACUAAGUUUGGGUAUGCUGUGGACAUUAGAAUAUGUCUAUAGAAUUCACUACUGUGUGGGUUCCAUUGCCCUGUGGACCGGAAACAUCUCUGUUAUUCAUUUAAUUCUAUGUGGCUGCCCAGCACCUACUCAUUCAGGUAUCACUGGAGUCAGGGGCCCUUCUGUCCCAGGUAAGUAGCCCUACUCAGCCCAGUGUGGCAACCUCUGUGAACUUUCCAGUUUGGUCUAUGGGUAGGCAAGGAGGAAGGAUAGUGAGGCUCUCUUCUGGGCUUCAGGGACGGAACAGAGGGCCUUGGAGUCUUGGCAGGUCUAAGAACUACUAGGAACCAAGCCCAGUGGGUGGGCUAGGUGCUGAUAAAUAAGACUCAGAAUCCAGCAGCUCCUCGCUUCUGGAACAUAAGCCAAGCCUGCAGGCCUUUUCUGUGGCUCUCCGUCCGUACUUAGGACCUUUCCUUGGGAUUAAAUGAAACUUAAACCUGCUAAAUAAACACAGGCACAAAGAAAAACCAUUGGGACUCGUUCACCUGCUAUCAAUCAUCACUGCCAGGGUGUUCCUUGUCUUGACAGCUUACUGUAGGGAGGGAGCCCUGGGCUCCCCAGAACAAAAGCAGGAGAGAAAGAAAGAAAAAUAGCAAUGAAGGAGGAGAUUUACCCUGCAGGCUGAGGAAGGAAAUUAACUGAAGAGAGACAGCAACAGGAAGACAGAUCCCAAGUCAGGCCAGUGGUUGCCAUGGUCAACUUCACAAUGAGUUCUGUUUUCUCUGCUUACUUCACUAAUAAUAGUAACAUUAUCAUCAUUCUCAUUAUUACUGAAAAGCUUUGGGAGAUGGUCAGUUGCUAAGUUGUGUGCCCAGCAAGCACAAGGACCUGAAUUUGGCCCUCAAAGCUUCUGCAAAAGCCAAAAGCAUGACAUGUACCUAUGUUUCCAGGCAUAAGAGACACCUGAACGAGUAAGUGCUGGGCAGCCACAUAGAAUAAAGUUCAUAACAAAUGUUUUGGGUCCACAGAACAAAGGAUCCCACACAGUAGCGAGUUCUAUAGCGCAUAUUCUAAUGUCUAGAGCACACCCAAACUUAGUGGGGAAAGAGAUACAGAACAAUCCCUGGAUCUCGCUGGACAGCAAUUCUAGCCCAAUUAGUGAAACCCAGGUUCAGUGAAAGACCCUAUCUCAAAAAAUAAUUGGGAGAGUGAUUGAGGAAGACAUCACCUACACACACACACACACACACACACACACAGAGAGAGAGAGAGAGAGAGAGAGAGAGAGAGAGAGACAGACAGACAGACAGAAAGAGAGAGAGAGAGACAGACAGACAGACAGAGACACAUACAAAUAUACAGGUGAUUGAUCUACUUAGUCUUCUCCAUGGUAAACAUUAUACCUAAUACUCCAUCCAUUCAUUUGUUCAUUCAUUAAUUCAUUAAUUUGACCACUCAGCAAUGUAUCUAGGCACUGGAACACAGCGGUAAAGGAGACUGAGCCCCUACAGAAUCAAGAAAGCAUAUAACUUAAAAGUAAGUGCACGGAUAUAAAAGUAUUAGAGAAUGAUAUGUGUGAUGGAGAAGAUUAUGCCCACUAGGUGAGUGAGUUUGGGAGUUGGAAGGCUGCUUAUGACAUUCCGUAAAGGGAAGCUUAUCUAGGCGCUGGCUCCAAUGCUCAGCUCCGAGCAGGAGCUAAGACUGACUGGAGCAGGUGAGGUGUUUCCUAGGAAAGCGCAAAGGCCCUGUGACAAAAGCCCUGUGACAGCUUGCAUGUGGCAGAGCUGAAGUCUAUUAGAAGGCCCGAGCCGCCAUAUGUUCUACCCAUGGAAAUUUAGGAAAUAGGAGAGUCCAGUGGUCAGGUCUGCCAAAUGGAACAAAGCAUUCUGAAGCCUGAUUAGGACCAAAUUAAAGCACGUUCUAAAGUCAAGAGCCUAUUCUGUUGUUCCUAUAGUCUUACGGCUUUUCCAUGGAUUUGACAGAUGUAUACAAAGAUAGAUACAGGUGAACUGAUGGGUAUACAGAAGAAAUGUGUGGCCCGACCCUCACCAAGACUGGGCCAUGAGUGCCUCCUCAAUGCUGUAAACAAACUCAGAGGAGUCUUAUGUUCAGGAAUUUGAUAAAGCCAGGUUAUGUUGACCAAGUCUGGUGUCAUCCACCAUUCUAGGACAAUUCUUAACUAGAUCCACAGACUCAGCUCUCCACUGGCCAGAAUAGUUAGUGAUUCUUGCCUCCUGAUCCCCUCUGUUGGUGUCCUGAGCUAGCAAGUAGGCAUUCCUGGGUGUGCUAUGUGUCUUCUUCCAGUUCCUAACACCUCUGCCCGGACACAUCUCGUUCAAGUACUUUAUGUCAGUGGCUUUCAAAAAAUGGGCAAAUAUAUAGGGAUGAAAUCAGGACGCAAAUGACAAUGAAAUGGAGACUUUCCCUAGAGGGCAGAUCCUUAGGAAUGAGUGGAACUUACAGCAAGAGUUUGGGUUUCCCUGGGGUGGGUGACAGAGAUUUAAUGUGACUGAGCCUUCAUUUGCUAGGGCCAGAAACAGACCCUGGCAUUAGCCUUUGUGAUCUCUGCCUUUUGGCUCCCAGGCAGCUGUAACACAUGGCUUUCAUUCUAGAAUGAGCUACUCAAUUAAAAUCAAAUAUCGAACCUAAUAUCCCCAACUCACCCAAACUGGUAUUAUUUGUGCAGGCACAGCGGAAGUGGAAAGAACCCCAAAUGCACACAAAGCCAGGCGAAGGUCAGCACUGAUUAUGUCAGGCUGGCAAUUUAACACUAGCUCUGCACUUUGCAAAGCAUCGACACUAUUUGCCUCUUUCGAAAGUUCAUAUUUGAGAAUAACCGACUUUGUGCAUGAGUGAGAUGGAAAUUUGUGUCUGGAAGAGGUCUGUGUGGUGUCAUUUGGACCAAGUAGCCCAUAGUUUAUAAGAAGAGCACAUGGCUCCAACAUGUGAAUGCAUUUAUUAGACACACACAUUCAAUUAUGAAUAUAACUUAAUUUUUUAUUUUAAACAUGUUGAUUACAUUGUGGUGUGUGUGUGUGUGUGUGUGUGUGUGUGUGUGUGUGUGUGUGUGUGUGGUGUGUGUGUGUGGCAGUUGGUUCUUUCCUUCUCCUGUUGAGGAGUCAUGGGAUUAUUUUUAGGUCAGGUCACCAAGCUUGAUGGCAAGCAGUUUUCCCCACUAACCCAUCUUGCUGGCCCAAUUUGAUGUUUUAAAUGGCGAGAGUAUCUAUUUUCUUCCUACAUCCCAACUGGAUUUGUUUGUGCUCUUCUUAGGGUGCAAGUCAGUUGGAUAUUCCAAGGAAUAAUGGAAUCUAGAACAGACACAGGAUUGUAGAGAGAACAGGGCUGCUCAAAGAGAUGUAGAGGAUAAAUGAAGUCAGAGGUGAAAUCUCUCUUUGGUGCCAUUUCACCAGUAAGGUCUUUGAUAGACUAACCUAUGCCCAACUCUUAGGAAAACAGAAAGAAAAGAGAGACUACUUAAGAGACAGAAGCCCAGUGAGAGAAAAUGAGAGAGGGCCAUUUUGCCAGGAAAGUUGUACAGAAACAGGAUACAGAGGGAGAACAAGCUAGACAUAGGUGUGGACAGAACAAGCUAGAGAAUGAAAAGGAGCCAGGCGAUUAGAACAUUAUUUUCAAAGUUAGUAUGAGGCUAAGCAGUGCAAUUCAGGAGAAGCUGAGAGAAACCAGAUCGAAUCAGUCAGCUUGGAGAGGAGUUUGAGCCAAAACAGCUGAGCUGAGUCAACUAUCCAGAGAUCAGAAAGAACUAGCAAGGGGUGAGCUUAUUCAGCAGCAAGUCUCAGAGACUGAAAACAUUCUAGGCCUAGAUUAGAUUGUAUGGAGGCUAGAAGUUUCCAGGACUAGGGCCUGAGUUAGAAGACAGAGGCAGCAAGCCUCAGAGAGGACAAUUUCAUCAGCAGAGUAAACGUUACUUUCAUAGGCAGUAUUGGGGAAUUUUAAAGGAUACAGCAAUGGGAUGUGAGGCCAGAAUUUUCACCUGGGUCAAAACUGAUCUGCACAUGCUUCGACUCCAUCUUCAGAACCACCAUAAACAGAGUUUGAAAGUCUCUCUCCAACUGAAACUCAGAGCCAUGCUGUACGUCACUGGAGUAGCAGGGCAGGUGGGACACUCUAGGGAUGAGACUGAACACCUGGGGGAGGGACAGGGCGUGUGCUGUGAUGGUGUGUCACAAAGAGAAGUACAGACAGAAAUUUCUAGAAGACCUCGUGUUUAUUUGCACUUUGUAAACCCCAGAGAUGAACUACAAGUCACAGUGGUGUCAGUCAUGAAGAGAUGGUUAUUGUUAAUUGUCGACUUGACAGACUCUACAGUCUCAUGAGAGGUAAACUUCUAAGCAUGCUUUCAGGGAAUUAUCCUGAUUAUGUUAAUUGAGGUGUGAAAGACCUGCCACAUCAGUGCCUGGACUGGAUCUUGAUUGUACAAACAGAGAGAAUUCCUGCAAUGGCAUGUGUAUUUUGCUCUCUGCUUCCUGAUUGCAGAUACAAUGUAAACCAGCUGUUUCAACCUUUUGCUACCUUGGCUUUCCCAGCAUGAUGGAGCAUUCCUUGGAAUUGUGAGCUCAAAUAAACCUUUUCUCCCUUAAA